rnacentral:rRNA from 1 species
AUGGUGUCCUGGACCGACAGUGAGAGCACUGACGGCUCCGCCGCGCAGUACAUCUCCUCCGACGACUCCCCUCUCAAGGGGAUAAGCACUGGUAGGAGGUUCAUUGCUUGUGCCACUGAAGGUGUUGCAAAUUGUGGAUUAGUGCAUUCGGUAGAUGAGCAUUGGCCAGAGCAUCUGCAGAAUGCUAUUCAUAAGCUCUGGCUUAUGUAUGAGCAUAACCAGCAUGAAAACAGGAUGGCAUGCCUAGAGCAUUCAAGCACUGUACACAAUCUCACACAGCAGAAAAAAUAG